CUGAGAAGAGUCCAUCUGCAUAGCCAAGGAGACUGCCCAAAACAACCAAGUAUGAGGUUGCAAAUUGGAAACGCUCACGAUACAUAUUGUGGGCAAGUCGUCCUUGGCUACAAACAAGACUCUUAUCU
rfam:Populus trichocarpa scaffold_5_contig_138, whole genome shotgun sequence.